UACGUAGGGGGCAAGCGUUAAUCGGAAUUACUGGGCGUAAAGCGUGCGCAGGCGGUUAUGUAAGACAGAUGUGAAAUGCCCGGGCUUAACCUGGGAACUGCAUUUGUGACUGCAUGGCUAGAGUUUGGCAGAGGGGGGUAGAAUUCCACGUGUAGCAGUGAAAUGCGUAGAUAUGUGGAGGAACACCGAUGGCGAAGGCAGCCCCCUGGGUCAAGACUAACGCUCAUGCACGAAAGCGUGGGGAGCAAACAGG
rnacentral:rRNA from 1 species